UUUUUGUAUUUGCAAUUCAAUAUGGUUAUAUAUUACAUAACAUAUAUAUGUUCUUCUUUUUUUCAUCUUUGUCUUAAAUUUUCAGAAAUAGUCGAACGGUCGAUUCUUUUUUUUUACUUUCAUGAAAAGAAAUUUAUUAUUAUUAUUGAAACUUAGAAUUCUACAAUGUGCAAUGGAAAAAAUUCUAAGUCUACUUCGUAAAUUUGAAAUUCUAAUAAUUCUAUACUAUUCUAUACUAUAUAGAAUAGAUAGAUAGAAAAAAAUAGAUAGAAAAAAAAAAAAAAGAUUUCUGAUCUAAUUAAGAUUUUCUUAUUUAGAAACUAAUGAAAUCAAAAUUCGAAAGUCAAUAUACUGCUAUAUUCUAUUAAUUAAGGUUAUGUUUUAUUUAUUUAAUGAUAGUCACUAUUUAUUUGAGCUAUAUUCUGUUCUAGAAUAUAUAGAAUAUGAUUAAUUCUAAAUAGAUAAGGAAAAAUAUUAAUAGAAUAGUUAAUUGAUACGAUCUAGUAGUUUAGUGAAUUUGUAUGCAUGCGCUAUUUUAUUUGAGCCCGCUUAGCUCAGAGGUUAGAGCAUCGCAUUUGUAAUGCGAUGGUCAUCGGUUCGAUUCCGAUAGCCGGCUUUUCCAUAUUUUUUCGUUUUUUUACAUGAUUUUUAAUGUACUUUCAAAAUCAAAGAAGAUUGAAAAGACUUCUUUGACCUUUUUCCAAGAGUUACCACUCCAUUUAUAUUAUGUCAUAUAAACUUCCAUAUAGGAAUAUAUAUUGGCUAAAAGAGUUCGAUCUUUGCAAAAUAAAUAAAGAAAAUAAAGGAAAAUUUUUGUGAUUUAUUUGAUUUAUAUAUAUUGUAUAUACAAUAAAAAAAAUCUGUAUAUUGAGAGAAUAUAUCUUCUUACUCUUUGUAUUCCAAUAGUUUAUUGGAGUGUAUUUCACGUCAUUUAUCAUUAUCAUUUAGUUCAGUUUUAAUUUUAUUUAGUUUUGUACAAUUUCAAUAAAAAAAAGGAGUCUUUAUGUCACGUUACCGAGGGCCUCGUUUUAAAAAAAUACGCCGUCUGGGGGCUUUACCGGGACUAACUAGUAAAAGGCCUAAGGCAGGAAGCGAUCUUAGAAACCAAUCACGCUCCGUAAAAAAAUCUCAAUAUCGUAUUCGUUUAGAAGAAAAACAAAAAUUGCGUUUUCAUUAUGGUCUUACAGAACGCCAAUUACUUAAAUAUGUGCGUAUCGCCGGAAAAGCCAAGGGGUCAACAGGUCAAGUUUUACUACAAUUACUUGAAAUGCGUUUGGAUAACAUCCUUUUUCGAUUGGGUAUGGCUUUGACUAUUCCUCAAGCGCGCCAAUUAGUUAAUCAUGGACAUAUUUUAGUUAAUGGUCGUAUAGUUGAUAUACCAAGUUAUCGCUGCAAACCCCGAGAUAUUAUUACAGUGAAGGAUGAACAAAACUCUAGAACUUUGGUUCAAAAUCUUCUUGAUUCAUCUGCCCCUGAGGAAUUGCCAAACCAUCUGACUCUUCACACAUUCCAAUAUGAAGGGUUAGUCAAUCAAAUAAUAGAUAGGAAAUGCGUCGGUUUGAAAAUAAAUGAAUUGCUUGUCGUAGAAUAUUACUCUCGACAGACUUAAUAAACCUAACUUAAGUAAAAAAAAUUACUAAAAACAAGAGUUCGGACAACUCCCCUUUGCCAUUAAAAAUAAAAAGGCACAAGGUAAGGGAUUUUGUCGAGGAAUCUUUUUCCUAUUCAUGUAUCAUAGAUUGGUAGGGAGAUUUGGAUCCCUUGUUUGCUCUUCCCAGCAUUUUUCAUAUGAAAGAAAUUGGGAAUAGAGAAUCUAUUUCAAAAUCAAAACAAGGUAGAUUUUAUAUCUAUUCUUUUUUAUUGGAUUUGAUACAUUGGGGUCAAUCACGUAAGAUUGGUGAAUUAGUUGAAAGUACGGAAAGAGAGGGAUUCGAACCCUCGGUAAACAAAAGUCUACAUAACAGUUCCAAUGUUACGCCUUCAACCACUCGGCCAUCUCUCCGACAUCAGGAUUAUGACUGAGUAUCUGGGUGAAUAGCGAGUUAUUCAUCGUUUUUUAGAUUAUGCUUAAUAGAUACCUUUUUGACCGGAAAAAUUGUAAGUAGAUAGAAGGUUUUUUUUAAUGAGUCCGCUUUUAUGUUAGUUCGUACUAUACAAUUCCUUUGUUUGUGAGAAAAUUUUCUCACAAAAGAAAAGGUAAAGGAAAUAAAAAGAGUUAGAGAGUGGAUUACUACCUAUGCCAAGAUCGCGUAUAAAUGGAAAUUUUAUUGAUAAAACCUUUACAAUUGUAGCCGAUAUCUUAUUACGAGUCAUUCCGACAACUUCCGGAGAAAAAGAGGCAUUUACUUAUUACAGAGAUGGUGUGAUUUGAUUAUCAUUUUUUUUUUUCUCGUCGAUUUGGAUUGGAAUAGAAAGAAAAACGAGUAUUGAAAAAAAAUCUACGCUUUUGAAGGUGAAGUUUAUAAUAUAAAAAAACAAUCCCUUCUGUCAUGUAUCCACGAUUAAUGCAGCCUUAGAUGCUUCAAUUGUGAAUUAUAGUAUUGAGCAAAAGGUUUUUACCUAUGGUUCCCGUAUUACAGAUCAAUCCUACUACACUAAUACAAUAUACGAAUAGGAGGCAUAGGGGAAGAAGCACUACGCCGAGAAAUCAACAACACAAAAACUUUCUUAAAAAUGAUUCCCUUUCUUUCUUCUUCUUCGUUGGGAUUGGGACUAAUUAACAUGGUUGGAACAAUAAACAUCCAUCUCGUUCGUACUUUGGAUACCCGUAUAACCAUUGAAGACUGUUGAAGUGACUAAUUCCUGGAAAUUUAGGGGCGUUGAGAACAAAGAAAUUUUUAGAGUUUCCUUUUUUAUUUUUAUCUAGCAUGAACCCACUUGGUAGUAAGAAAAGAGCUUUUGCAAGAAGGUUGGCUAGGGAUUUCUUGUAAAAACAUUAGCCCCGCUUAGUUCAUAAUGACAUCACAUUUUUACAUAUAUUAUUUUCAUUAUGCACCUAAAGGAGGAGCCGUAUGAGAUGAAAAUCUCACAUACGGUUCUGAAACGGAGAAUUCGUUAAAGCGAAUGACGACCGUAACGGAUGUCGGCUCAAUCUGAAGGAAAUUAUGCGGAAGCAUUACAGAAUUAUUAUGAAGCUAUGCGACUAGAAAUUGACCCCUAUGAUCGAAGUUAUAUACUCUAUAAUAUAGGCCUUAUCCAUACAAGUAAUGGGGAACAUACCAAAGCUUUAGAAUAUUAUUUUCGGGCAUUAGAACGAAACCCCUUUUUACCACAAGCUUUUAAUAAUAUGGCUGUGAUCUGUCAUUACGUGCGACUAUCUCCACUAUAGAAAAAAAGAACAGCUAGUCAAUGAAAUACUAGAAACACAAAAAAAGGGCUUUCUACAUAAGCAUCGUCCAAAACGAUUUUUUAUCAGCUGUAGCAAAUAAAUAAACUUCAUCGAUCGAAAUAUGAAGUGAAGACUAGAUAUGCCUAAAUACUUCUCUAUGGAUAAAAAAAGAUUUAAUUGAUAGAGGAAGCACCGUAAAGAUCAAUUGGAAAGGUUUUGGACCGAUACAACAAGAGCUGUUUAUUUAUAUCAUAAUAUGAGAUAUGAGAUAAAUCUUAGAAAUCUACUUAUGUAAUAGAGUAAUCCCCUAAGGUAUUGA